rnacentral:rRNA from 1 species
GACGGGACCCGCACAAGCGGUGGAUGAUGUGGUUUAAUUCGAUGCAACGCGAAAACCUUACCCACCUUUGACAUGUACGGAACCCUUAGAGAUAGAGGGGUGCUCGAAAGAGAGCCGUAACACAGGUGCUGCAUGGCUGUCGUCAGCUCGUGUCGUGAGAUGUUGGGUUAAGUCCCGCAACGAGCGCAACCCUUGUCAUUAGUUGCUACAUUCAGUUGGGCACUCUAAUGAGACUGCCGGUGACAAACCGGAGGAAGGUGGGGAUGACGUCAAGUCCUCAUGGCCCUUAUGGGUAGGGCUUCACACGUCAUACAAUGGUCGGUACAGAGGGUUGCCAACCCGCGAGGGGGAGCUAAUCCCACAAAGCCGAUCGUAGUCCGGAUCGCAGUCUGCAACUCGACUGCGUGAAGUCGGAAUCGCUAGUAAUCGUGGAUCAGCAUGUCACGGUGAAUACGUUCCCGGGUCUU